AUUGAACGCUGGCGGCAGGCCUAACACAUGCAAGUCGAGCGGAGCGGCGGACGGGUGAGUAAUGCCUAGGAAUCGGCCUGGUCGUGGGGGAUAACGCCCGGCAACGGGCGCUAACACCGCACACUCUCAGUUGAGCCUAGGUCGGAUUAGCUAGUUGGGGGGGUAAAGGCCUACCAAGGCGACGAUCCCUAACUGGUCGGAGAGGAUGAUCAGUCACACUGGAACUGAGACACGGUCCAGACUCCUACGGGAGGCAGCAGUGGGGAAUAUUGGACAAUGGGCGAAAGCCUGAUACAGCCAUGCCGCGUGUGUGAAGAAGGUCUUCGGAUUGUAAAGUACUUUAAGUUGGGAGGCGUUACCAACAGAAUAAGCACCGGCUAACUUCGUGCCAGCAGCCGCGGUAAUAC
rnacentral:rRNA from 1 species